rnacentral:lncRNA from 1 species
GUAACAUCCCCUUUUUUCAAGGCUAUUACCUUUGGAGGAAUAAUGGAAAGACUUCUCAGAUAGCUGGAAUCUCAAUGGACAAUCCUCAUAGCUGGUCAUACCAAGCCUGCAGCAAAUUUUUAGCUUUGCACAGCAAUGGGUUGUAGCCAGACAGUGUGAGCUGAACAUUCGCACUGCUCCUAAGGUUUAAUUUCAAGGUUAAAUUUUGAGUUCAGACCAGUUGUCAGCCUGCUGAUUUUUAACUUGAUUGGAGACGGACAUUUCUC